ensembl:lncRNA novel transcript
AGAAACACAAGGAUCAGCUAGAAAGUGUUCACCAAAUGCUGGACAAGUAUAACAGGUUAAAUUUCACCCCGGGCACAAUUUUGUGAGAUUUCAGAACACUAGACAUAAAGAGAAGAUCCUAAAAACUCACAAAUACAAAAAACCAACACCUACAAAGGGAUGAAUAUCAGAUUUGCAUUGGAUUCUUCAUCAGUAACACUGGAUGCUAGAAAACAGUGGGAUAAUGCCUUCAAAGUUCUGAAGGAGGACUCAGCUUUAAGAAACAGUGAAGCCUUUGAAGAAGGAAGUCUCCCAUUUAUCCUACUCUAGGAAGGACCUUUACAUGCUCCAUGCAUUCAAUGUUUACAAUAACAAAAGUGGCUCUGAUGUUUCCUGUUGUGCAAGAGAAGGUGAAGUCAAGAGAUAUUCGGUGACUUGCCCCAGUCCUCCUUCCCAGGAAGUGGCCAAGGGGUCUUUACAGGUUGAUGUAAGAUUGGCCCUGUGCAGUUCCCAGGAGGUCUGGGGUAAGAGUGGAUGGGCCAAGGCCCUGCGGGGCCACAUUCUCCUGAUGGGACUCGUGUGGCCAGACUCUGCUCCUGUCACUUGGAGACUGUGUAGUGGCCAUCUCCACUCAUCCUGGGACUGGUGCUAUGAAGUUGCCACCAAGAAGGAUGUUUCCCUUUUCUUCCUCCCCACACCCACUUCCCCACAGGGUGUGGUGGCAGCAGGUGCCUCUUCUGCAUGGCCAGGGUCCCCCAUCGCUCACAGCUGUCAGUGUGCACAUGCUCAGACCUGCACCAUUCCUGUCCAGCCCCUGCAGUUACCACCUGGAAUCUUCAGCCAGGACUUGGAGGCUGUGAGGUCAGUCGGGAAGUGGAUCAGGAGGCCACCCCCUUCUGUGGCACUUCUGAGAUGACAACUUGUUUCACAGUUGGAUGGGGGUGGGGAAGGAAAGAGCGGCCCCAUUAUUCCAGAACAUUUUAUCCACACAGGCUCAGACACCCUGUGAUGAAGAGUCCAAGAACAGCCUGAGAUAAGGAUGUCAUUCUUCUUUCACAGGCCCCACGAUGGGUUUAUCUUUUGGGACCAAGACAUUGGGUCCCUACAUGUUUUCCCCUACCCUUCUUAGGAAAUAAAAUAUCAAACAACCCACA